AUUGAACGCUGGCGGCAUGCUUUACACAUGCAAGUCGAACGGCAGCGCGGGCUUCGGCCUGGCGGCGAGUGGCGAACGGGUGAGUAAUACAUCGGAACGUGCCCAGUAGUGGGGGAUAGCUCGGCGAAAGCCGGAUUAAUACCGCAUACGACCUGAGGGUGAAAGCGGGGGAUCUUCGGACCUCGCGCUAUUGGAGCGGCCGAUGGCAGAUUAGCUAGUUGGUGGGGUAAAGGCCUACCAAGGCGACGAUCUGUAGCUGGUCUGAGAGGACGACCAGCCACACUGGGACUGAGACACGGCCCAGACUCCUACGGGAGGCAGCAGUGGGGAAUUUUGGACAAUGGGCGAAAGCCUGGUCCAGCAAUGCCGCGUGUGUGAUGAAGGCCUUCGGGUUGUAAAGCACUUUUGGCGGGAACGAAAAGGACUGUGCCAAUACCACGGUUCGAUGACGGUACCCGCAGAAUAAGCACCGGCUAACUACGUG
rnacentral:rRNA from 1 species